rnacentral:lncRNA from 1 species
AAAAUUGAAAAAAAUAAUCGAUGAACACCCAUCGGUGUUCAUCCUUAAGCGACUCGGAUUCGAUUCAAUACUACAUGAAACUCAUAACUUCCAACAUAAAACAAUCGCAACCCUCUCAUACUUCCAAACCCUCAACUGGAUUCAGCGAACAAUAGCUUUACCUCAGCAAAUCUGAACCCCAAAAGAAAGUCUAACCUAGUUUAUAAUCCUUUUUCUAUACCACCAUCAACA